CACAUUCAGAAGUCAAACAGUGAGCUGGAAAUUAACUGCAGCGCAAUUUGAAUACAGCCAAAAUUCUCCGAGAAAGAUGCGAAUCUACUUGCGUGCUCCACUUCUUGACAGAUGGGAAAAUGCUGCAUAAUGUACUGAUCUGACUCAAGCCGUAAAUCAGUCCGGUUUUCACUCCCAUGUCUUUAAUGGACCAUUUAAUAAUACGGGAAAGCACAUCAAGUGUGUCAAGAAGGAAAACAGAAGGAGAGAGAAACAGCACCAGAGGAGAUGGCUUCACUGACAUGACAAGAAAGCAUAUUGAUUUCUCUUUAGGGUCACUGAACUCAGUGGGACAUUGCAGAAUAGGAGAAAGAGGGUCCCUCUCUGUUUCGCAGUGGAUUGCCAUGGUGACGAUGCACAGGCUGUGCUUGGCCUUGGUUUGUAUGGUGUGCCCUAAUUUCCAUCUGAAAGGGGGGAUGCCAGAGAAGAAAAACAACAGACCUCUACCCAUUUGACCAUCUGUGCAUUAGUGACCUCCAUGUGGUCAAGCUGACAUUGCCAGCAAGUGAAGAGAAGGGCCAGGAUGUAGGAUCCACACACCUGUUUGGGGUGCACCACUGACUGAGCCAAAUAUAGUUGCAGAAAACUGUUCUGGACAGCAGUCCCACAAGCCCAAUCAGCAGGCUGACUUAUUCAGACUGAUGCUUUCUCCCACUGAUAACGGGACCCUGGAGAGACCGGAUGGCUGGCAGGUUCUUUUACGACUGCGGGGGAGCCACGGCACACACAAACUCUCACCAUGUACAAACAAGACUCAAAAUCAUACCUGCUCAAAUUAUUCUACCUUUCUUUCUUCCACAUUUACUGUCACAUUCCAUUGUAUGUUCACCUGCUGCUGCUGCUGUUGAACAGCCAAAUGAAGUGGAUUUUUCUUUUAGUGUUGAUCCAGUGUAAGUCUGGUCGACUAACCGCAGCAGUGAACCACAACGUGAGUCCUUUGAGGUAUGAGUUCACAACUAAGCCUGCAGGGCUUUUGUGUACAGCAGUUCAACUCUUAAUUGCAAGAAAAAUUAGGCGCCGUCUUCCAUUUACCAAACAGGCAGAUGUUGCCAUGGAAACGGUAAAGCACUUCAAGGCUUCGGCGAAUGAGAGGCCUUGGGUUUGAUUGGCCUGGAGGUCUGACUGCGGGGAAAACAGACCAGAGACAACAACACCAUGCUGUAGUUUUUGAUAUUGCCCCUAUGCUGUUGUAGAGCUUUCAAUACUGUAUUAUAUAGCUUAUAAAAGAUACAGUAUAACUGACUUCAAAAAUGUCUGUGUGUAUCUAUCAGCACAUCAGCUUACCAAGAGGGAAAAAAAGAACAUAUAGAAUUCAAAAAGCUACUUUAAAAGGCCUUUAAUGUGUUUUCCCUUCAACUGUGCCUUAGGCGAUUCAGAGCCGAGCGAAAAUACCAAUGAGCUACAGGCCGAGAGUUUACUGCAGGAUUUGUGCUUAUUUCUAUUUUCAAAAUUAUACACACAGUUGGAAUGUGUCAAAAUGUCAGAACACUUCCAAAAAAUACAGACAUUUAACUAAAAAAAAAAAAAAAACUUCCCGCUGUCCUUACCUAAUAGAUAAAGUCCUAGGUCGAAAAAUGACUAGCAAAUGAGAGAGGAGUGAAUGAUGAUGUAACUUGAGUACUUUAUACAAAAAAAAAACCAACAAAAAAAAAAAAACGUGUUAUUAUCUGAGCUUAUUUUAAACUAAUGAGCUUAGUGGAUUAUUGUUCCAUUCUUCAUGUGAAAAAAAAAUGUGGUCAGAACAGUGUGAAGCUAUCUGUGUCCCUACAGCAAUAUUUGUUGUUUGUUUAAUAGAAUCAAUUAAAUUCUUUUUCUCAAGCAUUAAACAAGAACAUCCUUCCUCACAUGGAUUUGUAUGUAUGGUCCUCACAAUAAUGAAAUGGUGAGGAUGAGGAAUUACACAAGCAUUCAAAAAAACAAUUUUUUUUGUCUUUUUGUUUGUUUGUUUGUACUCGGGUAAAGGUCAGAACUCUACGGUGACCCUGUAGUGCACAACACAUAGAAAUCACCAUAACACAACACAUCAUUUCUUUGUGUUGCGGCUUCUUUCCAUUGUGUCAUGGAGAUUUUGUGUUGUGUACUACUGGGCCACCAUGCAGAAAGAAAUUAGGCUAAAUAAAUAACACCUUUACACUUACAGAGUGAUAAAAUUUUCAUUCAGGGAGUUCAAUUUUCAAGAAGCUCCAGGUGAACUGUUCUUUAGUGGUUUACUAAUACGGUGUAUUCAUUACUCCGUAGACACAGUCUGUAUGACUUCCAGUAUCAUUCACAGCCUGGGAGGCAUGUGGGUUAGCAAGGCUAAUCGUAAUGUAGAUUUCUAUUGACUUUUGUAUUGACAUUAGAGCUGUGUGAAUGCAAAUGUGUGCUGUGUGGAUUGUUUGUGGCGCAGCUCUCACAGUCACAGCUUUUCAUUUGAAAAGGUUGCAGCGUUUGGUGACAAGAAGUGACUGCUAAUAAAUUGAAUUAGAAAUUGUGUAACACAGGAUGUGGAACAUGGGCUGCCUGAAUGGCAUGUAAAAUGUCGGCUUUUGGUAAUUUAUCUUUUAAUAAUUUAAAGAAAAUUCCAUUGAAAUGCUUUAUCGGAUCAUAACAAGGACAGUGGAUCACUUCUGCCCCCUAGAGUUUGAGAUCGUUAAAGCAGCCAACUCUUAGAUACUGUUUCAUUUAGAUUGAUUUUUUUUUUUUUUUUUUUUUUUUAAUUCUUCAUUCCUCAGAAGACCA
ensembl:lncRNA